rnacentral:rRNA from 1 species
AUUGAACGCUGGCGGCAGGCCUAACACAUGCAAGUCGAGCGAGUGGCGGACGGGUGAGUAAUGUAUGGGAAUCUGCCUGAUAGAGGGGGAUAACUACUGGAAACGGUAGCUAAUACCGCAUACCAUCGGAUGACCCCAUAUGGGAUUAGCUAGUAGGUGGGGUAAAGGCUCACCUAGGCGACGAUCCCUAGCUGGUCUGAGAGGAUGAUCAGCCACACUGGAACUGAGACACGGCCCAGACUCCUACGGGAGGCAGCAGUGGGGAAUAUUGCACAAUGGGCGCAAGCCUGAUGCAGCCAUGCCGCGUGUAUGAAGAAGGCCUUAGGGUUGUAAAGUACUUUCAGCGGGGAGGCGUUACCCGCAGAAGAAGCACCGGCUAACUCCGUGCCAGCAGCCGCGGUAAUUC